CAUACUUCCCUUGAAAGCUCGCUCUCUCGUCCUACGCUGAGCUCUGGACUCAUGACUCUGCUUGCCAGCGCCAUAAUCCGCUUUUGUUACCGGAUCACUGGUUUGCUGGUCGGCACUUGGUAGGUGCUCAUUGAUUUUUAUGAGGUUGCCAUCUACAUCACCAUCACCUACGGUUCUGCUUAGGUAUGCACCUACAAUAUUAUCAAAUCAUUAUAAAUAACUGAUGAAUGAUUACAAGAUGAAAGAUGAUCGUUGAUGGGAUAUCUACCAUCUGUUUCGGUGUUGCGAAUGUAUGUGGGGGCCGACUUGACGGUUGUAGAACGAUCUAUCUGUUCACUGUCGGAUUGUUGCGUGAUGGUUGGAAGUGUGAGAGUCGGACAAUGUGCGUGAGGGUUGAAAGCGUGAGAUUUGGACAAUGUGCUAGUUUGAUCUGGACGUGGCAUUGCGAUCGAUUCAGCACAAAGGGUGUUUUUCCUUCUAGCAUAGUCUGCCUUUCUCUUCGCACUUGACUCCCCCUGCUCAUCAGGGGUCCUGUUGUUUCGUUGUUCCUUUCGUCGCUCACGCUGCACUUGAUUAUCUUUUUGGAGGUUGAUCGUACCCUCUUCCUUUUUCUUCCGAUAAGAUUCUCGUCUCCGUGCGUUUCUCUGCUCCUUUUGUUCUUCUUUCUCACGUUGCCACCCAGCUAGUACAUUGUCAUCAAUGUACCCAACAAUGGGAGUACUCGAAGCAGGCAACGUUGCAUCAGCAUGUGACAAGGAUGUAUAGCUAGAGCUAGUUGGGUUGGCUGGUUGAGCAAUAAAUUGAAACAUAACCAUAUCAUCCAUGUUCAGCAAGCAUGAACCUGCAGAAUGAGGUCAUUCUAUCUAACGAUUACUUAAUUUAUGAAAUGAAAACUUAAACACAUGUACCUGAUAUGCUAUGGGAAGGUUGAUCAACACUUGUUAUAUCAUCAAGAGGGGGUCGGGAAACACACUGAUUUUCAUCUUGGAGGUUGGUCACAGUCUCAUCUUUUUUCUUCGGAUAAGCUGCUCGCCUCCGCGUGUUGUUCUGCUUAUUUUUAUCGCCUGUGCAGUUAUUGCUGCUUUCUUUAUCACAUUGCCCCAUAACUACCAUUACCAAAUUUACGCUACAAUUAUACCAAGUAUAAAUUCUAGAUCCGUACCUGGUAUCUCAUGGGAAGGCUGAUGAACAUUGGUGAUAUCGCCAAGAGGGGGUCGAGAAACAUUCUGCUUUUCACUUUGGAGCUUGAUCGUAUUCUCUUCCUUUUUCUUCCGAUAAUUUUCUCGCCUUCGCGCGUUUCUCUGCUCCCUUUGUUCUUCUGUCAAGUUAUUACUGCAUUCUUUAUCAUGCUUUCUGGUAGAUAGCUUGGCGACAUUCAGGAGUAGAGAUGUUUUCUGGGAAUCACUUGCUGUAGACGCUGGCGCAAAAUCUAAACCAUCAUGACCAUGGGCAUUUAGGCAGACAUCGUUAUGUGGAGAUUUUGGACCUAGAGGAACAGAACAAAAGCUAGUGGUUAGGCUCACAGAUGAAUAUGAACACCCAUAAGCACAAGAAGGGAAGGUGCGUCCCAUUGCGACGUUGUCCAUUCUAUGUUUUUGUUUAAGAUGGAUCUUUAUUUGGUUCAGCUCUUUGAAGUUCUUCCUCCCUCUCCUUUUAUAUUACCAUGUAAACCUCCUUCUAUCAUAUUGUCCCUGUUAGUCUAGCCCUAAGUCUGUACUCUUUAGGUCACUUCCCUCUCUCUCACACCCUCCAUUAUCCAUUUCCCUCUCACGUCAGAAUAUUGAAUGUUUCUACCACACAAUUUUGGCUGCACGCACUUGCUAUGGACAACUUUUCAGUAACAAAGGUUAGAUUUACAAAUUACAGGUUUCAUCUGUGGGUUUUUUAACCUUGGAGUUAAAAAUUUGUGUUUAUGCGUGCUAAUCAGAAAUCUUUUGAACUAUAACUCCUCUUUCAUUUCCCUAAGAUUAAUUAGUAAAUAGGAAGAUUAUAUGGUGUGAUUGUUACACAUAUUUUAUUUAUGUGCCUAUGAGUUCAGGGUUGGUGGAUUAGCAUCUUAUAUAACCAUGGCAUGAAAAUGAUUAAUUUUUCUUUCAGUUGAACCUAUUUGUAAGUCCCAACGGUGUUGUGAGCCUUGCUUACUGCAAUUUUUAGUUAAACUUCUUCAUCCAGCAACUCCGAGGAGUAGGUUUUGCGUGACUGAUACCAUGUUGCUUCCAGAAAUACCAGUACUUUAUGGUUUCACAUGUGAUUGCCCUUAAAUAUAUAUAUAUAUAUAUAUAUAUAUAUAUAUAUAUAUAUAUAUAUAUAUAUAUAUAUAUAUAUAUAUAUAGUAUAGUAAUGUUCUGUUCAGGUUCGGCAUAAAAGUUGUAUUCUAAUUACUGCUGCAGCUUCGCAUGUUGAAUUAUGUUAGACAUGAGGUUCUAAACAAGACAUUAGAAGCUUUUGGUGAUCUCAAAGAUGAUGAGGAGCUUGGUCCUGCUGACCGGGUUACAGUUAAGAAAUAUAUCACAGGCUUGAGUAACUUGGAAGAUGAACAUGCACAUCCACAUGAUGACAAUCAUGAUCACAUACAUACCAUGAAUUUAAGGGAUGGCCGAGUCCGUAUUUUGAAUGGCAGGCAGGCUUUUUGUUUGCUUUUCUUUUUUGCCCUUAAAUAGUUGGCUUGAUACGUCCAUAAUUCUAUCUUGUCUCUGUAUUUUAUGGAGAUGUUUAGUUUCAUACUAAAUGCGGUCAGUUAACAAAGAUUAUUUUUCCUUUUUGUAAAUAUUGUCUUCAGGUGUGCAAGCCAGUUACUGGGCAAUGCUUGACGAGGGACGGAUAAAUGCAGCUACAGCCAAUAUUUUGAUGCGAUCAGUUGAUGAAGCUAUGUAUCUUGUUUCUAGCCGACCAUUAUGCGAUUGGAACAAUUUGCAGUCCAAUGUCCAUUUCCCAAGUUACUACAGGUUCCUUUCUGCAAGCAUGUUACCACGAAGUUUUAUCACAUACUUCACAGUACAAAGAUUGGAGUCAGGAUGUUACAUCUGUCCUGCAUUUCUUCGUGCUAAUAGAAUUGCAAGGAGAUUUUACCAAGAUUUUCUUGGUAAAAUCUUGGAAAACUUUUAGAAUGCUUUUAUGUGCUUGUUAUUUACCACUUCUUUAUUACCAAUUCCAGAAUGCUUGUUAUUUACCACUUCUUUCCUUCCAAUUCCAGAACUUAGUAUCCAAUCCAUGGAUUAGAGGCAGUAAAUGAAUAUUAGUCACACUACGUGGCGCACAUGACAGAUGUAAUGCGUAGGUGUCCGUCGUUAUAGUCCAUAAGCAGAACAGAAAGUAGUAUUUUGUUACUUGUCGGAGCCAGCUACAGACCCUUUUUUUUAAGAUACGUGGAAAGUAGUAUGGUGCAGAUGGACGCAUGGCUCAAACCAUUUAGCUUUUUAAGGUUGAACUAUGUAAAGCCUAUCUAAAGUCAUUGUCAUUUGUGAUGUCCUGUUCUAGUAUCACCCCUCCAGAGGGACUAAUAUGCAAUACUGACAGUUUGUUGUUUUUGUCCAAAUCUGUUAGGCAUGAUUGAUGAAAUGAUCAAAUAAAACCCAUUUGAUAAUGCAUGUUAUUUACAAAAUCCCAAUACCUGGAGUCAUUGGGUAAUACUCGUCAAUGUUGUGACUCGGUGCGAGAACGAUUUCUGGGAUGGAUUCGUUGCCAUUUAUACCCUCAUUAUGGCUUGUAACGUGAAAGUUAUAUGCAAUGUUGUGUUUAUACCAGAAUGAAGGUCAACAAGACGGGUAGAGGGUAUACCUGGACUUCCUUGGGGAUGUAGAUCAACAAGAGGUGGUAGAGGUACAUCCGAUGCCUUUCUUUGUUCCGGUGCCUUGCUAUUUGAAUUUCCCUUACUUAACUUUUGUUCUGAUGAGUGACCUAUCACAAAUGUAGGCCAACAUGAGAAGCUAGAGUAGAGGUCCAUUUCAAAGUAAACUUACAGGAGGACAAAGCUACCAACUGCUUACAAGAAAAGCUUGAACCUGGUCGAGCUGGGAACAUUGAUAAAGAAAAGGUGUAAUUUAGCUUUGCGUAAAAUUCAGAGAAGUUGCAUAUGUAUAAAUUGUAUGAUUCACAAGUCCGAAAACCUUCAAGUGUCUUAUUGAAUGUGCUGCCGACGGAAGCAUAAAAAAUCAUCAUACAUACAGGAAGGUACUGCUCCAUCGGAGUUCUGUACGUAUGUGCGUUGGGCCCUGUUGAAUGGACGAAGGGUUUAGGGUUUAGGCGAACCUGAUUUAGGCGGAACCUGAUCGGUGGCACCCUCCCUGGGAUCGGCGGAGGCGGAUGCGUGCGUGGGGUUGUGCGGCAGCCUCCCACGGAUCGGCAGCGACGGAGGCGUCAAUGGGAUUGUGCGG
rnacentral:lncRNA from 1 species